rnacentral:tRNA from 1 species
UGGGGUGUGGACAAGUAGUAAGGCAAUGGGUUUUGGUCCUACUAUUCGGAGGUUCCAAUCCUUCCGUCCCAG